GCAAACUUGGUCAUUUAGAGGAAGUAAAAGUCGUAACAAGGUCUCCGUUGGUGAACCAGCGGAGGGAUCAUUACAGAAGACCACGGGGGGCCCUUCGGGGCCUCUCAUGCUCUACAACCCACUGUGAACCUACCCCUAGACUAGUUGCUUCGGCAGGCGGCCCCAGGGCGGGGCCACCGCCUGUUUGCUCAGGUGUCUGCCGGCAGUGCCACAAACUCGCUAUAUUUCAGUUGAUAUCAGAGUACCACACAAUCAUUAAAAACUUUCAACAACGGAUCUCUUGGUUCUGGCAUCGAUGAAGAACGCAGC
rnacentral:misc_RNA from 1 species